CACCUGCUCCAGCUUGAAGGCCAACCUCUGUUUCCUGGCUGCAUCGUCCUGCUCCAGUGCACACACAAUCUGCCAGCAGGACAGUGAGCUGCAGCCGCUCGAGGACAGGCCCGGUGUUUUGCUGGGUGACUCUGGGCAUGUGUGAGGGAGAGAUGUAUUUGCCAGGAAACAAGUCUUCAGAGCAAACUGAGCAAAGGAAAAGGCAGGUCUGCAGUUGAGAUCAAAAUGAAGGCCGGGUUUGAAGAUGCGUGUGGUCCGAUCCAUGAGUACUAGUGCUCAUGUCAACAUGAUGACGGGCGUUGCGGCUGGUGUGAUCCCAAUGCACAAGAUUUUUUUUUUCAAGCAUAUCUACUACGAAUUGGAAGUCACGUUUUUCACUUGUCUAUCUCUUAUGCACCUGACAGGAAAGAUACGCUUCCAUUUUUAUCAAUACAACAGUCUGUUGCGGUCAGGAGUAAACAGCUGAACUGUUACAUGCAACCCAAAGCGACUUUUUGGUCUUUCUUGUGAUGUAUGCGUGCACAUGUUUGUAGUAUAGACCAGAUGUCUAAAGCAAACUGUUAAUUGUGUGACCAAUUUGUGAACGCAUCUCUAUGGAAAGACUGCUUUUAGGGUUUUAAGAUAUAAGUUCUACUGAAAUAUGCUUUUAGGAAGUAAUAAUAAGAUAAUCGUUCAUCCAUACUACCUCCAAUAUUUUUCAUAUUCACCGAAUAUCAUAUUUACAAAAGCUACUGCCAAAUAACACUUUAACACAAGCAGCCUUUAGAAAAUCAUAGGUCUUAAAACAAUGUUUUGUUAGCUUUGCAAAUGUACUGAUCCAUAUGCGGACACUGUAAAUAAAUGUUUACCAGCC